rnacentral:rRNA from 1 species
UACGAAGGGGGCUAGCGUUGUUCGGAAUCACUGGGCGUAAAGGGCGCGUAGGCGGCCGAUCAAGUCGGGGGUGAAAGCCUGUGGCUCAACCACAGAAUUGCCUUCGAUACUGUUUGGCUUGAGACCGGAAGAGGUUAGUGGAACUGCGAGUGUAGAGGUGAAAUUCGUAGAUAUUCGCAAGAACACCAGUGGCGAAGGCGGCUGACUGGUCCGGUUCUGACGCUGAGGUGCGAAAGCGUGGGGAGCGAACAGG